CCUACGUGGCGCUGCAGUGAGGAAUAUUGGUCAAUGGGCGCGAGCCUGAACCAGCCAAGUAGCGUGAAGGAUGACUGCCCUACGGGUUGUAAACUUCUUUUAUAAAGGAAUAAAGUCAGGCACAUGUGCCUUUUUGUAUGUACUUUAUGAAUAAGAAUCGGCUAACUCCGUUCCAGCAGCCGCGUUAAUACGGAGGAUCCGAGGUUUAUCCGGAUUUAUUGGGUUUAAAGGGAGCGUAGAUGGGUUGUUAAGUCAGUUGUGAAAGUUUGCGGCUCAACCGGAAAAUUGCAAUUGAUACUGGCAGUCUUGAGUACAGUUGAGGUAGGCGGAAUUCGUGGUGUAGCGGUGAAAUGCUUAGAUAUCACGAAGAACUCCGAUUGCGAAGGCAGCUUACUAAACUGCCACUGACAUUGAUGCUCGAAAGUGUGGGUAUCAAACAGGAUUAGAUACCCUUGUAGUC
rnacentral:rRNA from 1 species